rnacentral:rRNA from 1 species
UACUGUGGUCAUACCGGCUUGUCAAAGCCUGAUCUCGUCAGAUCUCAGAAGCUAAACAGGGAUGCUCUGGUUAGUACUUAGACAGGAGACCACUGGAAAAAUCAGGUCAUUGUGU